UACGUAGGGGGCAAGCGUUGUCCGGAAUCAUUGGGCGUAAAGAGCGUGUAGGCGGCUCGAUAAGUCUGCUGUGAAAGUCCAGGGCUCAACCCUGGAAGGCCGGUGGAAACUGUCGGGCUAGAGUCCGGAAGAGGCGAGUGGAAUUCCUGGUGUAGCGGUGAGAUGCGCAGAUAUCAGGAGGAACACCAAUUGCGAAGGCAGCUCGCUGGAACGUAACUGACGCUGAGACGCGAAAGCGUGGGGAGCAAACAGG
rnacentral:rRNA from 1 species